UAGACAGCUAUGGUAAUAAACCACUAUUAUUGUUUACUAUCUAAUAGUGGUAAGGAGGAGGAGGUGAGGAAUAGAGGUAAGGCUUCUUGGUUGGAGUUGGUGGUGGAGAGUGGUAAACUGGAUGUGGAAUGUAUGGGGGAGAAGUAUGAACUGGUGGUGGAGGUGAGUGAUAAACUGGGUGUGGAAUGUAAGGAGGUGAAGUAUAAACUGGUGGAGGUGGUGGUGAAGGAUACUUGUAUGGCUUCUUGUAUGGUGGUGGUGGUGAGUGGUAGACUGGGUGUGGAUAUGGGUGGUGGGUUGGUGGUGGUGGUGAUGGAUAUUUGUAUGGCUUUUUAGGUGAUGGUGGGGGUGAAUGGUAAACUGGGUGGGGGUGUGGAUAAGGAUGUGGGUGAGGAUGAGGGUGAGGAUGUGGGUGGGGGUGAGAUGGAGGUGGAGGAGAUGAGUACUUGUAUGGCUUUUUAUGGGGUGGGGGAGGUGAGUGGUAAACUGGGUGGGGGUGUGAUUUUGGAUGGGGUUGUGGAUAGGGAUGUGGUUUUGGAUGGGGGGGUGGAUGAGUGUAAGGGUGGGUUGGAGGGGGUGGUGAAGGAUAUUUGUAUGGCUUUUUGUGAGGAGGAGGUGGUGGAGAGUGAUAGUGAGGUUUAGGGUAGACAUGCACUGGUGGUGGAGGAGAGGAAUAUUUGUAAUGCUUUUUUGGUGGUGGUGGGGAAUGGUAAUAGGGUUUAGGGUGAACAUGAUGAACUGGUGGUGGUGGUGAAGGAUACUUGUAAGGUUUCUUCGGUGGUGGUGGAGAGUGAUAAUGGUAAGGGUGUUUUGGAGGUGAGUAAACUGGUGGUGGUGGAGAAUGGUAGUAGUAUGGUUUCUUUGUUGGUGGUGGUGGUGGUGAGGAGUAGUGGUAAGGUGGUGAAACUGGAGGGUACACCUUAGGUGGUGGUGAGACUGGGGGGUACACCUUAGGAGGUGGUGAAACUGGAGGGUAUACCUUAGGUGGUGGUGAGACUGGAGGGUAUACCUUAGGUGGUGGUGAGACUGGGGGGUAUACCUUGGGUGGUGGGGGUGAGGAAUACAAGUAAUUGUUUGCUGAAAUUUGUGAUGGGAAGGUGGUGAGAGAUAGUAUGGCUAAUAGAAGAGUUAAAGUGAUAGAGGCCAUUAGAGACCCCAUUUUUUAUGGUUACUCACAACCUCACUGGGUAUAGUGGGUUUUUGUUAUGCUCUAAGCUAAGGAAGUGUUGCCCUUUAUAUAGAUGUUUUAUUUACCUUAUUCAUCUUGCUCACUUUAUUUUCAACUUGGUUGCCAGUAAGGUGCUGCCGUUUCUUCUCCUCUUUUUGUCAC
rnacentral:lncRNA from 1 species